AUGAACGCUAGCGGCAGGCUUAACACAUGCAAGUCGAGGGGCAUCGGGAGUAGCAAUACUUGCCGGCGACCGGCGCAAGGGUGCGUAACGCGUGAGCAACAUGCCCGUAUCAGGGGGAUAAUCCAUGGAAACGUGGUCUAAUACCCCAUAGUAAUUAUGUAAGGCAUCUUAUAUAAUUUAAAGCUUUGGUGGAUACGGAUUGGCUCGCGUGACAUUAGCUGGAUGGUAAGGUAACGGCUUACCAUGGCUACGAUGUCUAGGGGUUCUGAGAGGAAGGUCCCCCACACUGGAACUGAGACACGGUCCAGACUCCUACGGGAGGCAGCAGUGAGGAAUAUUGGACAAUGGAUGGAAAUCUGAUCCAGCCAUGCCGCGUGCAAGGAAGACGGCCCUAUGGGUUGUAAACUGCUUUUGUAUGGGAGCAAUAAGGGCUACGUGUAGUCCGAUGAGAGUACCAUACGAAUAAGCACCGGCUAACUCCGUGCCAGCAGCAGC
rnacentral:rRNA from 1 species